AUUGAACGCUGGCGGCAGGCCUAACACAUGCAAGUCGAGCGGAGCGGCGGACGGGUGAGUAAUGCCUAGGAAUCUGCCUGGUAGUGGGGGAUAACGUCCGGAAACGGGCGCUAAUACCGCAUACUAUCGGAUGAACCCAUAUGGGAUUAGCUAGUAGGUGGGGUAAAGGCUCACCUAGGCGACGAUCUCUAGCUGGUCUGAGAGGAUGAUCAGCCACACUGGGACUGAGACACGGCCCAGACUCCUACGGGAGGCAGCAGUGGGGGAUAUUGCACAAUGGGCGAAAGCCUGAUGCAGCGACGCCGCGUGGGGGAUGAAGGCUUUCGGGUUGUAAACCUCUUUCGCUAUCGAACGGGUAGGUGGAGAAGAAGCGCCGGCUAACUACGUGCCAGCAGCCGCGGUAAUAC
rnacentral:rRNA from 1 species